UUUUUAAAGCGAAUAAGGGCGCAUGGUGGAUGCCUUGGGUCUGAGAGGCGAAGAAGGACGUGGUAAGCUGCGAAAAGCCGGGGGGAGCUGCACACAAGCGCAAUAUCCCCGGGUAUCCGAAUGGGACAACCCAUACCGAUGAAGUCGGUAUACUCGAAAGAGAGCCAACCUCCUGAACUGAAACAUCUAAGUAGGGAGAGGAAAAGAAAACAAUAGUGAUUCCCCCAGUAGUGGCGAGCGAAAAGGGAAUAGCCCAAACCGUAAAAGCGUGCUUUUGCGGGGUUGUAGGACUACAUUUAGGCGUUAUCAGGAAGCUGAAUUAUCUGGAAAGAUAAGCCAUAGCAGGUGAAAGCCCUGUAGGUGUACAAUGAUAACAACGCGUAGUAUCCUGAGUAGUGCGGGACCGGAGGAAUCCUGCAUGAAACAGCCAGCACCAUCUGGUAAGGCUAAAUACUCCUCAGACACCGAUAGUGAACCAGUACCGUAAGGGAAAGGUGAAAAGUACCCCGAACAGGGGAGUGAAAUAGUACCUGAAACCGUGCGCCUACAAGCGGUCGGAGUUCCGUACAUACGGGAUGACGGCGUGCCUUUUGCAUAAUGAGCCUACGAGUUGCACCUGACUGGCGAGGUUAAGUUCUUGAAUAACGGAGCCGUAGCGAAAGCGAGUCCGAAUAGGGCGAAUAGUCAGUUGGGGCAGACGCGAAACUUUGUGAUCUAUCCAUGAGCAGGUUGAAGUUCCGGUAACACGGAAUGGAGGACCGAACCCGUUAGCGUUGAAAAGCUUUGGGAUGACUUGUGGAUAGGGGUGAAAGGCCAAUCAAACUGAGAGAUAGCUCGUUCUCCCCGAAAUGUUUUUAGGAACAGCCUCAGAUAUAGAAGUUUACCAGAGGUAGAGCUACUGAUUGGGCUAGGGGGUUUCAUCGCCUACCAAACCCUGACAAACUCCGAAUGCUGGUAAAUAUCUCUGGGAGUGAGGCUGCGGGCGCUAAGGUCCGUGGCCGAGAGGGAAAUAACCCAGAUUAGCAACUAAGGCCCCUAAUACGUAGUUAAGUUGAACAAACGAGGUGAGACUUCAAUAACAGCCAGGAUGUUUGCUUGGAAGCAGCAAUUCAUUUAAAGAGUGCGUAACAGCUCACUGGUCGAGAGGUCUUGCACGGAAAAUAAUCGGGCAUCAAACUACGAGCCGAAGUUCUAAUCCCGAAGCGUGAGCUUUCGGGAGGUAGGGGAGCAUUGAAACCGGCGUUGAAGGUGUGGCGUGAGCCAUGUUGGAGCGGUUUCAAAAGAAAAUGUAGGCAUAAGUAACGAUAAAAGGAGUGAAAAACUCCUUCGCCGAAAGUCUAAGGUUUCCUGAUCAACGUUAAUCGGAUCAGGGUUAGUCUGGUCCUUAGGAGUACCCGAAAGGGGAAUCUGAUGGAAAGCGGGUUAAUAUUCCCGCACCUGCUAUACGAUGAAAGUGACGCAGUGACGUGGUGGUUGCGAACAGACGGAUGUUCGCCUGAGAGGAAACUUCGGUGGAAUCGAAACCAUAAAAUUGCUGCCAAGAAAAGCGAGUAUAGCAGCCAGUACCGCAAACCGACACAGGUAGACGGGAUGAGUAUUCUAAGGCGCUCGGGUGAGCCGUGGAGAAGGAACUAGGCAAAUUGACGCUGUAACUUCGGGAUAAAGCGUACCCUGCAGCAAUGCGGGGUCUCAGUAAAAUGGUUCAACCAACUGUUUAACAAAAACACAGGGCCCUGCAAAAUCGUAAGAUGACGUAUAGAGCCUGAUACCUGCCCGGUGCCGGAAGGUUAAGGAAGGGGGUUAGGGUUAAACCAAAGCUCCUGACUGAAGCCCCGGUAAACGGCGGCCGUAACUAUAACGGUCCUAAGGUAGCGAAAUUCCUUGUCGGGUAAGUUCCGACCUGCACGAAUGGUCUAAUGAGUUGAACACUGUCUCCUCCACGAGCCCGGUGAAAUUGUAGUAUCGGUGAAGAUGCCGGUUACCCGCCACGGGACGGAAAGACCCCGUGAACCUUCACUACAACUUUGCAUUGAUUUUGAGCAACAAAUGUGUAGGAUAGUUGGGAGACUAUGAAGUAGUGUCGCCAGGCAUUAUGGAGUCAACGUUGAAAUACCAACCUUUUGUUGCUUAGAACCUAAUCCCGUAGAUACGGGAGACAUUGCAUGGUGGGUAGUUUGACUGGGGUGGUCGCCUCCUAAAAAGUAACGGAGGCUCGCAAAGGUACCCUCAGUACGGUUGGUAAUCGUACGAAGAGCGCAUUAGUAGAAGGGUGCUUGACUGUGAGGCAGACAAGCCGAGCAGGAGCGAAAGCUGGCUAAAGUGAUCCGGUGGUUCUGCAUGGAAGGGCCAUCGCUCAAAGGAUAAAAGGUACUCCGGGGAUAACAGGCUGAUCUUACCCAAGAGCUCAUAUCGACGGUAAGGUUUGGCACCUCGAUGUCGGUUCGUCACAUCCUGGGGCUGGAGAAGGUCCCAAGGGUUCGGCUGUUCGCCGAUUAAAGUGGCACGUGAACUGGGUUCAGAACGUCGCAAGACAGUUCGGUCCCUAUCUGUGGUGGGCGUUAGUAAAUUGAGUGGAUGUGACCUUAGUACGAGAGGACCGGGUUGCAUGUACCGCUGGUGUAUCAGUUGUGCCGCCAGGUGCAAUGCUGAGUAGCUAUGUACAGCCAGGAUAAACGCUGAAAGCAUCUAAGCGUGAAACCUUCCACAAGAUGAGUUUACUUUUAAGGGUCCCCGUAGACGACGGGGUUGAUAGGCUACAGAUGUACAGCUGGUAACAGCAAAGUCGAGUAGUACUAAUUACCCGUAAGCUUUAUUUUU
rnacentral:rRNA from 1 species